UCACUUUGGCAGCAGAUAGACGAAUGUUGGAACAAUACUGGGAAGAUUAGCAUUGCCCUGCACAAAGAUGAUACACAAAUUUGUGAAGAAAAAAAAAAUGGG
rnacentral:snRNA from 1 species